rnacentral:misc_RNA from 1 species
GUGAAUCAUCGAAUUUUUGAACGCAAAUUGCACUUUCUGGUAUUCCGGAAAGUAUGCCUGUUUGAGGGUCAGUUAAAUUAAAAUCGGUGUUGUUGCUACCCGUAGUGCUGUGUGAUGCAUCGGAAUUUAUUCGCUCUUUACCUUUGGUUUCAGUGACUUAGACUUAUGUUCGCUUUUUUAACGUAUUUAAAUUAUUUCUUACGUUCGUAAUUUCUCAUAUUAGGUUCUUUCUUUCACCUGUCUUCUCGUCUAUUAUUUUUCAUUAUUUGUUCUCAUAUCUUGUACUCAUACCCGCUGAA